rnacentral:rRNA from 1 species
GAUGAACGCUGGCGGCGUGCCUAAUACAUGCAAGUCGAGCGAACGGACGAGAAGCUUGCUUCUCUGAUGUUAGCGGCGGACGGGUGAGUAACACGUGGAUAACCUACCUAUAAGACUGGGAUAACUUCGGGAAACCGGAGCUAAUACCGGAUAAUAUUUUGAACCGCAUGGUUCAAAAGUGAAAGACGGUCUUGCUGUCACUUAUAGAUGGAUCCGCGCUGCAUUAGCUAGUUGGUAAGGUAACGGCUUACCAAGGCAACGAUGCAUAGCCGACCUGAGAGGGUGAUCGGCCACACUGGAACCGGAACACGGUCCAGACUCCUACGGGAGGCAGCAGUAGGGAAUCUUCCGCAAUGGGCGAAAGCCUGACGGAGCAACGCCGCGUGGAUUGUGAAGGUCUUCGGAUCGUAAAACCCUGUUAUUAGGGAAGAACAUAUGUGUAAGUAACUGUGCACAUCUUGACGGUACCUAAUCAGAAAGCCACGGCUAACUACGUG